CUACUACUCCCUCCGAUCCUAAAUUGUUGUCAAAAUAUUACAUGUAUCUAGACGCUUCUUAAGAAUAGAUACAUCAAUAUUUGGACAAAUUUGAGUCAAAAAUUUAGGAUCGGAGGGAGUACGUA
rnacentral:pre_miRNA from 1 species